GGGCCUGUAGCGCAGUGGCUGUCGCGCCUUCCUCUCACGAAGGAGGACGCCGGUUCGAAUCCGGCCGGGCCCGC
rnacentral:tRNA from 1 species